rnacentral:snoRNA from 1 species
AUUGCUCCUAGAAGCAUUGCAGGUGUGGCUGCUGUGUCUCAUGUGCGUUGGUGGGUGGCAGAGAAGAGAGAGGCGAUCUGACCAGUGGACAUCUGAAUGAUUAGUAGCCUAACACC